GAUGAAGAACGCAGCGAAAUGCGAUACGUAAUGUGAAUUGCAGAAUUCAGUGAAUCAUCGAGUCUUUGAACGCACAUUGCGCCCGCCAGUAUUCUGGCGGGCAUGCCUGUCUGAGCGUCAUUUCAACCCUCAUGCCCCUAGGGCGUGGUGUUGGGGAUCGGCCAAAGCCCGCGAGGGACGGCCGGCCCCUAAAUCUAGUGGCGGACCCGUCGUGGCCUCCUCUGCGAAGUAGUGAUAUUCCGCAUCGGAGAGCGAUGAGCCCCUGCCGUUAAACCCCCAACUUUCCAAGGUUGACCUCAGAUCAGGUAGGAAUACCCGCUGAACUUAAGCAUAUCAAUAAGCGGAGGA
rnacentral:misc_RNA from 1 species